rnacentral:lncRNA from 1 species
AAAAGUCUUAAAAAUAGAUGACAAAAAAGAAAGUUACAACCAGAGAAACAGAAGUAAGGAUGGCAGUGAGGUUCUCAGCAGCAAGCUUUCAGAUGCUGAACAACUUUCCUCUACCAGGCCCUUCCACCAUGUGGCUUCUAUCUCACAACCAGAAGACUGAAACCUCAGAAGUAUCUUAGGUGACACAUGAAAGGAUCAUCUGCAAAGAAAUUUGAUACUUCUCUUCAGAAGACACUGUUGAGAGAAAAUAAGAAGCAACUACUCUCAAUGCUGCAAUCUGACAAAACAUGAAUGCAAAUUAUGCAAUUUUUCAAUAAAUAGAAGACAAAUAAUUUAGAAAUAAAAUAUUUUAUUGUACACUUUACAAUAAAAAUUUAAUUUCAAUAAGUGCAUGGAAAGAUGUUCAGAAUGAUUAACUGUCAAUUAAACACAAAAUAAAACUACAGUAAGAUGCUACUAUAUAGCCAGUACCAUGUAAAAUUAAGAGUAGACAAAUACCAAGUGUUGGCAAACAUGUAGAACACUCAUACAUGGAUAGUGAGAAUGUAAAAUGAUACACAAUUUUACAAGUUAGUUUGGGAGGUUCUUAUAAAAUUGACCAUAUUCUUGCUUUUGACCUCUAGAUAGUUCUCCAAUAAAAAUGAAAAUAUGCCAACACAAAGACUUGUACAUGAAUACUCACAAUAGGUUUAUUAUUGUAGCCAAAAAUGGAGGAAGUAAAGAUAUUUUACAAUUAAAUGACCAGUGAUAUAACAAAAGCAAAAAAUAUUAAUCAAUAAUAGUUGUACAAUGACAUAGAGAAAUCUUAAAAAUAAUUUGCUGAGCAAAAGAAGCUAGACAUAAAAUAUAAUAUAUAGUGUGAUUUUAUUUAUAUAAAAUGUGAAAACAAAGUUAAUGUAUAGCCACAGAAAGUAGACAUAUUUGUUUUGGUUAGGGAUUGCUAGACUUAACUGUAAAGAGACAGAACUUCUUCAGAGGAUGAAAUAUCCUUAUCUUUGCUAUUGAAAUGGAUACACUGGUGUACACAUUUGAUAAAAUAUUAAAACCAUAUUUUAAUGGGUAUAUAUUAUUUACAAGUUAUCUUUCAAUAAAGUUGACUUUAAAAACUAA